rnacentral:hammerhead_ribozyme from 1 species
AUCCAGCUGACGAGUUCCAAAUAGGGCGAAACGCACGUCCUGGAU